rnacentral:piRNA from 1 species
UGUUAAUUAGGUAGCCAAAGGAGGCUUUC